rnacentral:lncRNA from 1 species
CCCCGCGGCAUAUGGAGGUUCCCGGGCGAGGGGUCGAAUCAGAGCUGCAGCUGCCAGCCUGCACCACAGCCACAGCAACGCCAAAUCUGAGCCGUGUCUGCGACCCACACCACAGCUCACAGCAAUGCUGGAUCCUUCACCCACUGAGCAAGGCCAGGGAUCGAACCCACAUCAUCAUGGAUCCUAGUCAGAUUCGUUUCUGCUGAGCCUCGACGGGAACUCUCUGCUGUCUGUGGCUUUCUCUGCCAUCUGUCUGUCUGUCCGUCCUUCCUUUCUAGACUGUGGGAGGCCACGUGACAAGAUCACACAGCUCCAGACUCAGGCAGGGCAGAAGCACCUGCUAGGGAGCCUUCUUCCCUGGGUGGGUGGCCUCACCUGGACGUGCCUGACCUCUGGCUCUCACGCACCUGUCGGCAGCCCACGCACGCCUGUGACCUUCCUCUCUCAGCUCCUGAAGAUACUGAGCCGGGUCCCUGAACUUGGAGGGCAGGGCCUGGUCACUGAGGGCAGAGGCUGGUGGCUGCAGGCAGGGCUCGGGCAAAUGAGUGGCACAAGGAAGAGGGAAGGAAGACAGAGACGAGGAAGUGGGGACAGGGGACAGAGGGCGGGGAAGGGAGCAGGGUGAGAGAGGGAGCAGAACGGAGGGCCGAGGGGUGGCGAGCACGGGGGCCGGCGGCAGGGGUCUCCCAGCGCCUCACCUGCUCUGCAUUCCCUCAAAAGGUCCUGGGUCCAGAGGGCAGCCUGGUCCUGGCUAUGACCAAGGCCACCUGCUCUUGGCACUUCUGGUCUGGCCAUGGGAGCAGCUCCUGGCAGCCCCUUGCCCUGGCUGGCACCUAGCACGGCCCCACCCAGGGGCAGGGGGGCCGCAGUGGGGCUGAGGCCUCACCCGUGCUCUGCACCAGUGGCUCCAGACAGACUGACCCUUGACCCCAGGCACAGUGCAAGCACCCCGACCCAACCCCGCCAGAGACGGACACUCGCCCUCGGCCAAGAAUGGACUUCUGAUCCCAGCCACAGUCUCUGGCCCCAGCCUGACACUGGCCCUGCUACAGACCGACCUCUGACCCCAGCCCCAGCCUCAGCCUGAACCCUGAUGCUGGCAGAGGCUCACAGUGGUGACCAUUUCGUGGACACGUCCCUCUGGGGACCGUGUGAGAAGCAGGGCCGUUCACCUGCGGGUAAGAAGCUCCAUCGACGCCGCCGUGGCGCACACGGAGACCUCGGGGCCUGCAGUGACUGGCGAGGGCCCAGGGCGCUUGUGUGCAGGCUGGACGUUCACAUGCAGCCAGGCCCGGGGUGCAGCCCCAACAGGGGCAAAUGGGCACGCGGAGCCCCACAGGUGUGCUGAGAUGCACAGGCCAAGCAGGCCCACGCAUGCACACACACACACAUGCACACACACGCCCUGCCCUUCUCCCUGGACCACAGCCCCUCCAGCCCAGCCCAGAGGCUCCCCAGGCACCAGGAAUGACAAGAGGGUUCCUAAGGGAAGCCAGCAGGAGGGCGAGUGCUGCCCCCUCCCCCAAACCCACUGCAGAUCGGAGGCAGCCAGGACACGCAGGAACACAAAGUGCCCCCGUCAGACACACUCGUGUGCUUCUAUGUGUGCAGGGAGGUGUGUACGGGGCGUGUGCACACAUGCAAGGCCACAGAGCAAGGCCACGCAGACCCCUCUGCAAGAGAGCAGUGCACAGCCGCACACCCGCCGCCACGUCACUGUCCCGACUCGAGUUUGCGGCUGUCUACACCAGGUGGCUAACCACUCCUCGGGUGACCCUCCAGCCUCUUCCCAGCUCAGCCCCCCUCAACUUAGUGGCUCCAGGAUUCUGGCCCAGGGGCCCUCCUGGCCCCCAGCCCCCAGCCUCAGGCAUGGGAGGCCCACCAGCGUCCUGCUGACCACGUCCCACAAGGACCCGGGCUGGCUGUGAACCCGUGGGCUUCGGCACGACUGGGCCAUCCCUCCGGAGGGAGACAGCCCCCUGCUCCAGCUUCUCCUGGGGACACGCAACUCGGAAGCAAGAAUCCAGGAUGGCCUGAGUCUGCAGACAUGGCCUCUGGAAGGGUGAGAGGAUGGAGAAGAAACUGCUGAUCAGAAAGGAGAGGGGGCAGUUCCCGUCGUGGCGCAGAUUAACGAAUCUGCCUAGGAACCAUGAGGUUGCGGGUUCAAUUCCUGGCCUCGCUCCGUGGGUUAAGGGUCUGACAUUGCCGUGAGCUGUGGUGUAGGUCGCAGUCGCAGCUCGGAUCCCGCGUGGCUGUGGCUGUGGUGCAGGCCGGCCGCUGUAGCUCUGAUUCGACCCCUAGCCUGGGAACAUCCAUAUGCCACGGGGGCGGCCCUAGAAAAAGGGAAAAAAAAGAAAGAAAGAAAGAAAGGAGAGUGGGGAUGGGAGGGGGUCUGUGGAGGGGGCUGCGGAGACUAUUCUGGUGCUUCUCCUUCUGGUUUGGCUGCACCCCAAAUUCCCCCGUGUGGGCAGGGGGCCGCCGUGCUGACUCGCCAGCACGCCCCUGGAGUGGCCCCACAGCCUUGAGGCAGGUGUUCUUGGUCCAUCUUAGAGGCACAAGGAGUGGGACCAGCCGGUACCACCCCAGUGUCCCCAGCACAUCCCAAGGAGCUGUCUUGGUCCCCCGUUCUGCCCAGGACCCAGCUCAGAGCAGUCCACCCAGCCGGACCCUGGCUGCAGACGCCCGCUGGGCUCUCCAGGAAUUGCUGGCGCUAAAGUCAUGAUCCCAGCCUCCCAGAUGAACCAGUGUAAGUCCAGCUCUGGGACACCCCGGCUGUGCGUCCCCAGGCAGCUCCGCACCCUCUCUGGGCCUGGUCUCCAAGCUGGGAGAAGGGAUGGGGCGCCUGCUUAUCUCAUGGGGCAGGGGGCUGGACGGCAGACUUCUAAGCGGCAAAUCUCUCUCCCUAAACUUAGCAAAAAGCUCACCGUGGAAACCAGGAGACCCCACCCCACCCGGCGCGAGAACCUUCACGGGACAGGCUGACGCGGCCCGGAGCCAAGGCGCCCCCAGCCCGCGGGUGUUUCCAGCUGCGGCCCCGCACUCCCCGGGGGCCCCUGCCAGUCAGCUUGCUGCGAGGCCCGCGCCCCCCCAACACGGGUGGGGGACUGCGCUGCUCGGCCACGGUCUUUCCACCUUUAAAACAGGACCAACCGGACCCGGCAUCUGAAGUCAGUGCGGGACUCGCCCGCCUCACGCGCUCAGGGUUCUUCCCUCCAGACGCCGAGCUUUC